rnacentral:rRNA from 1 species
UACAGAGGUCUCAACCGUUGUUCGGAUUCAUUGGGCGUAAAGGGUGCGUAGGUGGCGCCGUAAGUCAGGUGUGAAAUUUCGGAGCUUAACUCCGAAACUGCAUUUGAUACUGCGGUGCUUGAGGACUGGAGAGGAGACUGGAAUUCACGGUGUAGCAGUGAAAUGCGUAGAUAUCGUGAGGAAGACCAGUGGCGAAGGCGGGUCUCUGGACAGUUCCUGACAUGAGGCACGAAGGCCAGGGGAGCAAACGGGG